GAUGAACGCUGGCGGCGUGCCUAAUACGUGCAAGUCGAACGAAACUUCUUUAUCACCGAGUGCUUGCACUCACCGAUAAAGAGUUGAGUGGCGAACGGGUGAGUAACACGUGGGCAACCUGCCCAAAAGAGGGGGAUAACACUUGGAAACAGGUGCUAAUACCGCAUAACCAUAGUUACCGCAUGGUAACUAUGUAAAAGGUGGCUAUACUACCGCUUUUGGAUGGGCCCGCGGCGCAUUAGCUAGUUGGUAGGGUAAAGGCUUACCAAGGCAAUGAUGCGUAGCCGAAUUGAGAGGUUGAUCGGCCACAUUGGGACUGAGACACGGCCCAAACUCCUACGGGAGGCAGCAGUAGGGAAUCUUCCACAAUGGGCGAAAGCCUGAUGGAGCAACGCCGCGUGGGUGAAGAAGGUCUUCGGAUCGUAAAACCCUGUUGUUAGAGAAGAAAGUGCGUGAGAGUAACUGUUCACGUUUCGACGGUAUCUAACCAGAAAGCCACGGCUAACUACGUG
rnacentral:rRNA from 1 species